AUUGAACGCUGGCGGGAGGCUUUACACAUGCCAGUCGAACGAGCGGCGGACGGGUGAGUAAUGUAUGGGGAUCUGCCUGAUGGAGGGGGAUAACUACUGGAAACGGUAGCUAAUACCGCAUACCAUAGGCUGAACCCAUGUGGGAUUAGCUAGUAGGUGGGGUAAAGGCGCACCAAGGCGACGAUCUCUAGCUGGUCUGAGAGGAUGAACAGCCACACUGGGACUGAGAGACGGCCCAGAGUCCUACGGGAGGCAGCAGUGGGGAAUAUUGCACAAUGGUGGCAAGCCUGAUGCAGCCAUGCCGCGUGGAUGAAGAAGGCCUUAGGGUUGUAAAGUACUUUCGGCAGGGAGGCGUUACCUGCAGAAGAAGCACCGGCUAACUCCGUGCCAGCAGCCGCGGUAAUUC
rnacentral:rRNA from 1 species